rnacentral:rRNA from 1 species
CACGUAGGGUGCGAGCGUUGUCCGGAAUUAUUGGGCGUAAAGAGCUCGUAGGCGGUGUGUCGCGUCGGCCGUGAAAACCUGCAGCUUAACUGUGGGCUUGCGGUCGAUACGGGCAUCACUGGAGUUCGGCAGGGGAGACUGGAAUUCCUGGUGUAGCGGUGAAAUGCGCAGAUAUCAGGAGGAACACCGGUGGCGAAGGCGGGUCUCUGGGCAUGACCUGACGCUGAGGAGCGAAAGCAUGGGGAGCGAACAGG